rnacentral:ncRNA from 1 species
ACUCUAGUCCGACUUUGUGAAAUAACUUAAGAGGUGUAGAAUAAGUGGGAGCUUCGGCAACGGUGAAAUACCACUACUUUUAACGUUGUUUUACUUAUUCCAUUACUUGGAGGCGGGACUCUGUCCCUGCUUCUGGCUCUAAGGCGGCUUUAUUGCACGCCGAUCCAGGUGGAAGACAUUGUCAGGUGGGGAGU